rnacentral:rRNA from 1 species
AUUGAACGCUGGCGGCAGGCCUAACACAUGCAAGUCGAGCGGAUGACGGGAGCUUGCUCCUUGAUUCAGCGGCGGACGGGUGAGUAAUGCCUAGGAAUCUGCCUGGUAGUGGGGGACAACGUUUCGAAAGGAACGCUAAUACCGCAUACGUCCUACGGGAGAAAGCAGGGGACCUUCGGGCCUUGCGCUAUCAGAUGAGCCUAGGUCGGAUUAGCUAGUAGGUGAGGUAAUGGCUCACCUAGGCGACGAUCCGUAACUGGUCUGAGAGGAUGAGCAGUCACACUGGAACUGAGACACGGUCCAGACUCCUACGGGAGGCAGCAGUGGGAAAUAUUGGACAAUGGGCGAAAGCCUGAUCCAGCCAUGCCGCGUGUGUGAAGAAGGUCUUCGGAUUGUAAAGCACUUUAAGUUGGGAGGAAGGGCAGUAAGCUAAUACCUUGCUGUUUUGACGUUACCGACAGAAUAAACACCGGCUAACUCUGUGCCAGCAGCCGCGGUAACAC